UGCCAGCCGCCGCGGUAAUACGGAGGGUGCAAGCGUUAAUCGGAUUUAUUGGGUUUAAAGGGUGCGCAGGCGGGAAAUUAAGUCAGUGGUGAAAGCCCCGAGCUCAACUUGGGAACUGCCUUUGAUACUGUUUAUCUAGAGUCCGAGAGAGGUUAGUGGAAUUCCAAGUGUAGAGGUGAAAUUCGUAGAUAUUUGGAAGAACACCAGUGGCGAAGGCGGCUAACUGGCUCGGUACUGACGCUGAGAUGCGAAAGCGUGGGGAGCAAACAGGAUUAGAUA
rnacentral:rRNA from 1 species